rnacentral:lncRNA from 1 species
AUCACAACACGACACGUGUCAAUGUCAGAAUGAAACUAGAAACUCUCUUCUAUAAAUAGAGAUCAUUCUCUUACAAUAUUUCCUAAUGUCAUUUGUACUAAAUCAUUCACUUGUACUCACUAAAUGAGAGCUUGAACCUAUGUAAUUGUGUAAACCCUUCACAAUUAAUGAGAACUCCUCUACUCCGUGGACGUAGCCAAUCUGGGUAAACCAUGUACAUCUUAUGUUUGCUUCCCUGUCUUUAUCCAUUUACAUACUUAUCCACACUAGUGACCGGAGCAAUCUAGCGAAGGUCACAAACUUAACACUUUCUGUUGUACCAAAGUCCUCACUGAUUUUGUGCAUCAAUAAACCUGUUUAUGCUACGUUUGUAGAAAGUAUUUCCAUUUUAUUAUAAGUAUUUUUGCUAUACACAUGACAAACAUUUAACUACAAAUUCAAGCAAUUCUUCAGAAAACAUUUGUUAGUUGACAAAAAAAAAAACCCUCUAGUCUGGAAGAAACCAGGGUGUGUUUAAAAGGUUAGAAUUAAAAUCUAACACUAUGUUUGGAUGAAGAAAUUUAAGUUUAAAGGAAUUUUAAAAUGAUAGAAAUUGAAAUGACGAGAUUUUAUUUUCUAGAAUUUGUGAAUUUUCUUGUUUGGUUAACCUAAAAGAACAAUGGAAUUAAAUACAGAAUUUGUUAUUUUUAAACUCUCAAACAUAGAAAUUGAGAAAUGACACAUAUUUACAUAGAAUUUAAACUUGGGAAUUGGAGGUCCCAAAUUCCAAGUUUUUUUUUCACACGAAAAUUUUAAAUUUCUAUGUUUAUGAAUCCAAACAAGGGAAUUGUGACGACCCGUCUCGAAUAUAUAUUUAUUUUAUCCCCGAAAGAGUGGAAAAGAUGAGUUUACCCUUGAGAGUUGGGUUAUGAAUGUAUAAAUGGGCUAAGAAACGGACCAAUUAUCUUAUGCCCUAUUUCUUUGGACCCAAUGAAAAAUUUGUAGGGUUGUUAGGACUAAAUUUGGUAGCCCAAUUGGAAUUUAAGUUGGUUUAUAUGUAUGCCCAAUUCGGACCAUCACACACAUACU